AAAGUCAGAGUUGGUUUUUGUUCCAGCAGUGAAUGGAGAUGCAGCACUGUGAUGCUUUUGACUACUGGGGCAAAGGGACCGAAGUCACAGUAACAGAUACUACAACUGCAUCACCGACUCUGUUCCCUUUGGUUCAGUGCAGUUCUGGGGCUGCAGAUCAAAUCACUGUUGGCUGUCUUGCACAAGACUUCUACCCAAAGGGUCUUACUUUUCAGUGGACAGGUGACAGUGGGCCCAUCCAGACGGCUGUACAAUAUCCUCUAGCUGAGAAAAACAACAAAUAUACAAGAGUCAGUCUGCUCACUGUGUCAAAAUCUGACUGGGAUUCAAAGAGCUAUAAUUGUUCUGUGACUCACCCCGGAGGCUCCAGAACCGUGAAACUUUUAAAAGCUCCUUCUUCCACACCCACAAAGGAUCCAUUGCCUCCAAAGGGAGCUGGAGUUGUUUUAAUGGAACUGAAGCAAGUGUCAAGUGUCAAAGAAAUCUUUAACAACAACCAGGCAGUGUUGAAGUGUAUCAUUUCUGGAGCGGACCAGAAUGUGUUGAAUCAAAUUCAAAUCAGUUGGCAAAUCGAUGGAUCCCCUGAGACCAACAACAUCCAAACAACACAGUUGGCAGGCAGCAGAGUCAGCACAAUGAAUGUUACCCGCGAUGAGUGGAUAAGAUUUGGCAAGGUGCGCUGUUCUGCCACGAAAGACGACAUAACACUAGUUUUUAGAGAGCUGACUCUCCCCAAAGGAGAGCCAAAAGUAAGAGUCCACGUCCUCCCAGAGGUGGACAUAGAAAAUGAGGUCACUUUGGUGUGUCUGGUCUCCAAUCUGGUGAAGCAGGAUUACUACAUCACCUGGUUAGAAAAAGAUGGAACAAAGUCCUCCAACUAUGCUGAAGGCAUUAACUUCCCCCCAGUGAAGUCCCAACAAGGAUACUCAGUUGCAAGUGUUUACACCACCACCAAAGACAAGUGGGACAAGUCCUACACUUUCUCUUGCCAGACAUUUCCUGGUAGUGGCGAAAACCCUACAAAAUCCACGGCAUCUAAGGCCCACAAUAACGCCGUUGAAUAUUUUACUCCAGAAUCAAACCUGAGUUUUGCUCUGAGCUGCACAGAUGAUGCAUUUGAGGAGGAAGAGUACAGCAGCCUUUGGUCCACAGCCUUCUCCUUCAUAAUCCUCUUCAUAUCCUCUCUUCUCUAUUGCAUGAUAAUCAGCCUGGUCAAGAUGAAGAGAACAUAAAGGACGAGAUGGAUGCACAGCAUGAUAACGACAGAUCUUCAUUUGUUUUUUUGUCUUUUUUAUCUAAUUUUAAAAACCAUGUACAUAAUUGACAAUCUACCUUAUAUUUGCCAGAUAAAAUGGUCAUCACAUGUAAUUAUUAAGUCAUGAAAAUGGAUUUAUCUUUAACCUGGAGAAGAAAUAAUAAAUACAAUUGCAAUUCUUAAUCAUUUACUGUGUAUGAAUCAGGCUCAU